rnacentral:rRNA from 1 species
UUCCGGUUGAUCCCGCCGGAGGUUACUGCUAUCGGUGUUCGACUAAGCCAUGCAAGUCAUAUGUUCCUCGUGAACAUGGCAUACUGCUCAGUAACACGUGGAUAACCUGCCCUUGGGUCUGGGAUAACCCCGGGAAACUGGGGAUAAUACCGGAUAACGCAUAUGUGCUGGAAUGCUUUAUGCGUAAAAUGGAUUCGUCCGCCCAAGGAUGGGUCUGCGGCCUAUCAGGUAGUAGUGGGUGUAAUGUACCUACUAGCCAACAACGGGUACGGGUUGUGAGAGCAAGAGCCCGGAGAUGGAUUCUGAGACAUGAAUCCAGGCCCUACGGGGCGCAGCAGGCGCGAAAACUUUACAAUGCGGGAAACCGUGAUAAGGGAACACCGAGUGCCAGCAUCAUAUGCUGGCUGUCCAGAUGUGUAAACUACAUCUGUUAGCAAGGGCCGGGCAAGACCGGUGCCAGCCGCCGCGGUAACACCGGCGGCCCGAGUGGUGACCGUUAUUAUUGGGUCUAAAGGGUCCGUAGCCGGUUUGGUCAGUCCUCCGGGAAAUCUGAUAGCUUAACUGUUAGGCUUUCGGGGGAUACUGCCAGGCUUGGAACCGGGAGAGGUAAGAGGUACUACAGGGGUAGGAGUGAAAUCUUGUAAUCCCUGU